ensembl:snRNA U6 U6 spliceosomal RNA
GUGCUCGCUUCAGCGGCACAUAUUCUAAAAUUGGAACGAUACAGAGAAGAUUAGCACGGGCCGCUGUGCAAGGAUGACAUGCAAAUUCGUGAAGCUUUACAUAUUUUU